GCCCCACUGGCGCAAUGGUUAGCGCGCUUGACUUCUAAAUCUUCCAAGAGUAGAGGUAUCAAGAGGUUGCGAGUUCGAGUCUCGCGUGGGGUU